rnacentral:lncRNA from 1 species
CAGCUGGCAAGCACUACAGCAGNCUCAAGGAGCAUUUUCCUGCCAUGGCAGUGUGGAAGGGUCUGUACAGCAAUGUGGACUUAUCUGAACAUGGGGUAGAGAAGCCAAGGACCCAUGAGCCCAGGAGUCAGCCAGGUAUGCGGCUCAGUGAGGAACAUGGUCAGAAACAGAUAGAAUGUGAUGAAGGUAAAAAAGAAACAUGUGAAGAAGAAAGUGUAUACGAACCUAUUGACCCUGCAGCUGGUUUUGAGGGGAAACAAACCCAACCAGUGGCCAUCACAUGGUUAUCAGCCUGGAAGCCAUCGUGUGGCAAAGUAACUUUAGCUGGUUCCUUUCUACUGGCCAUAUCUGUGUUCCUGAAUAUCUUACUGCUGGCUUUGGGAGCUGUUCACUAUUCUAAGAUGGCUGCUACUUUGGACCAAAUGAAUGCUAAGAACAAGCAGCUCCAGGAAACAGGUGAGUGCUUAUGGGAACUGCAGAGUAAGCUCGGAAGGUACCAUGUUCUGUGUCCCUCCUUCUGUUCAUAGAGAUUAAAAGCUGCCUUAUGUUUCCGGGAAGACCUGAGCAUGUAGUGUGGAGAACUAAAGAAUUUGUCUUGGAAGAAAUAGUUGCAC